rnacentral:tRNA from 1 species
GGGCGCUUGGUGAAAUGGUAUCACAACGGUCUCCAAAACCGUUAGUGGGGGUUCGAUUCCCUCAGCGCCCG